rnacentral:rRNA from 1 species
UUGAAAGGGAAACGAUUGAAGUAGUGUACAAGAGAAAUAGUUUUGAAUGUGAUUUGUGGNGUAUGAGAUUNAUUGUUUGAAUAUGUAUGUUUUUUGGUGUAUUUUGUGGGUAGGUUANNNNAUUUUGANNNAUAAAAAGAUUGGAGGAAUGUAGUUGAUUUGUAUUGAAGUGUUAUAGUUUUGGUAAAUGUGAUGAUUAGGAUGAGGAUUGAAGAAUACUUUUGGGUAUUGUUGAGUUGAUAGUGGUUUGGUAUGAAAGUUGUUAUGGUAUUAAGGUAUUAGGUAAAAGGUUAGAAGGAAAAUAGUUAAGGAUGUUGACGUA